rnacentral:lncRNA from 1 species
GGGGAAGGAUGAGUGGCCGGCUAAUCUGUGCUGUCAAAGAGAAGGGAGAGCGACGGCCUGUUGGAUUUUUUGGAGGAGAAGGCUGCGGUUACAGUCUUGGAAAAAUGGGGAAAAGGGAGCAGACUCCCUUGCUGAGAGGGGUUCUCUGAUUUUUCAAAGGGGGCUGACUUGGUUUCAAGGGUGGUGGCUGGUUUGUGGAAAAGAAGAGAAAAAAAAAACAAAACAGCGGGGGCUCUUUGGUUUGUCAAUGUUGCUGCUGUUUUUGGGGGAGCAACAAACCGGGGAGAAGAAAAUAAAUCAGAAGGGGGAGCUUUAGGGGAGCUGCCGGCUGUAGUUGGAGAAAAACCAAAAACCAGUGGGGGGCGGCUGUGUAUAGGAGAAGAAGGAAAAAAUUUCCCAAAAACCAGUGCUAGCCUUUAUUUUAUUUUUUAUUUUUUUUAUUUUUAAAAAAGUAAAAUUUAGGGAAUAACCCAAAAUUGGGUUAUGACAGUUGCCCCCCUCUUUACAAUGCUUAUGAUAGAAAGUCUCGUAGGGGACUUUAGAUAGUAAGCGUUGUAAAGAAGAAAAAAGGAAGAUGUUUUUUUUUUUUUUUUUUUUUUUAAAUUCAAAGAUUUUGAAAUGGUCGAAUUGCCAUGGGUGACCUACCCGGGUGAAAAACACGAAGAUGUUUUAAAGAGGUGAAAAAUACAGAGAUUUUUCAAAGAGGUGAAAAAUACAGAGAUUUUUCAAAGUGGUUUUGUUGUAAUGGGCAACCGGCCCAAGAUGGAAAACAAAAAGAGUUUUCAAGGUGGUGAGAAAUGCAAAUAUUUCUCAAAAUGGUUUUGUUGUAAUGGGCAACCGGCCCAGAUGAAAGGUUUUGAAAAAUACACAGAUUUUUUCAAAGAGGUGAAAAAUGCAGAGAUUUUUCAAAGUGGUGAAAAAUACAAAGAUUUUUCAAAGUGAUGAGAAAUGCAAAGAUUUCUCAAAAAUGGUUUUAUUGUUACGGGCAACCGGCCCAAGUGGAAAAAGUUUGAAAGUGGGGAGAAAUGCAAGGAUUUCUCGAAAUGGUUUUAUUGUUAUGGGCAACCGGCCCAAAUGGAAGAUGUUUGAAGUUGGGGAGAAAUGCAAGGAUUUCUCGAAAUGGUUUUAUUGUUAUGGGCAACCGGCCCAAAUGGAAGAAUUUUGAAGAUGGGGAGAAAUGCAAGGACUUCUCAAAAGUUUGAAAGUGGGGAGAAAUGCAAGGAUUUCUCAAAAUGGUUUCAUUGUUAUGGGCGACCGGCCCAAAUGGAAGAUGAAAAGAGUUUUGAAAGAGGUCUGAUUAUAAUGGGUGACCGGCCCGGGCGAAAAGGCAAAAUGUCUGAAAGGGACGACAUGAUAGGACUCGAUGGGGAACGAGGGCUGAAGAGCACACUCGAAAGGAGAUAGGGUUCGAAAAACAUACUACCUAAGAGGUGAGUGCUCCAAGGCGCACUCUAAAGAAGGCAAAUAGGGCUAGAAAGCACACUACACAAGAGGUGAGGGCUCGAAGGAGCUCUCAAAAGAGGCAAGGUUGGAAAACGCACCACCUAAGGUGGUUAAUGGCCCUAAGGCGCACUCUAAGGGAGAUAGGGUUGGAAAACACACUACCUAAAGGGUUGAUGGCUCUAAGGCGCACUUAAAAGGAGAUAGAGUUGGAAAACGCACUACCUAAGAGUUGAUGGCCCUAAGGCGCAACCUAAAGGAGGUAGGGUUAGAAAAACGCACUACCUGAGAGGUGAGGGCUCGAAGGAGCUCUCAAAAAGAGGCAGGGUUGGAAAACACACUACCUAAGAUGGUUGAUGGCCCUAAGGCGCACUUAAAAAGAGAUAGGGUUGGAAAACGCACCACCUAAGAUGGUUGAGGGCUCUAAAGCGCACUAAAAAAGGAGGUAUGGUUAGAAAACACAUUACCUAAGGGGUGAGGGCUAAAAGACGCCCUCAAAAGGAGGUAGGGUUGGAAAACACACUACCUAAAAGGUUAGGGCUCGAAGGCACACUAAAAGAGGUAGGGUUAGAAAACACACUACCUAAGGGGCGAGGGCUAAAAGACGCCCUCAGAAGGAGGUAGGGUUGGAAAACACACUACCUAAAAGGUUAGGGCUCGAAGGCACACUAUAAAAGAGGUAUGGUGAGACACCGAUCUAUCCAAGGAUGAAAGUAAUGCAUCAUGAACAAUAUGCAUGUAUACUUACCUGAGAAGUAUAGGUCCCCUUUUCUUCAUAAAGUUCUCUUUUUCUCAGAAGUUUGAGUCUCUGAUAGUAAGCUUUGAUGGCUUUUGUCCCCCUAGCUUACUCGAGAAAUAUCUUACGAUCUUGGCCUCUAUGAAAGACUUGAUGUCAUCACUUCUUUGUUCUCCGGCCCUUUUAUCUCAAGGGUUGCCAAUUUUGCCCAAUAGUUUCUUAGAAAGGGAAUCAUGGAGCAAGCUCUACCAGAUGUUUUUGAUUGCCCCUUAGCUUGAUCAUGCCCCCAAGUAUUCAAUCGGGUUUGGGGAUGAGGCUAUGUGAAGGAAGGUUUGGCUUUUGACAAGGAGUUGUUUUCAUGUAGAAUUUUUGGAAUUUCAAAGCUAUUCCAAACACAGAAAUCAUUUUGACAUCGAUUCAAAGCGAACUCAUUCUGAAGAAAUUCAAGUGAUUCCUAUGGAGAGGUUUUCAGAAGUGAUGAAAACUUUUUGUUUUGAUUUUGGUGAAAAAAUAUGAAGUGACAUUUGGUUGGUCACAAAAAGUUGAAAUUUCAAUGAAGUGACAUCUGGUUGGUCACAAAAGGUUUAAAUUUCAAUGAAGUGACAUCUGGUUGGUCACAAAAGGUUUAAAUUUCAAUGAAGUGACAUCUGAUUGGUCACAAAAGGUUUAAAUUUCAAUGAAGUGACAUCUGGUUGGUCACAAAAGGUUUGAGUUUCAAUUUGAGGGUUAUUGAGAACCGUUUUCAAAGCAGUCAUUUUAUUUGCAUGAAUAAUGAUUUUAUUUCGCAUGAGAAAGCACUGCCUACCGAUCCAGAUUGCUUGCCUUUGAUCAGAAAGGGCUUCAUUAGGCACGUAAUGUAGGCUUGGGCUUUUGGCUUUGAAGAAAAUGAUAUAUGUAGGCUCAAAAGGUGUUUAAGGGACUUUAAGACUAAGGAUCACAAGUGCUUAUAUCCCAAACUCUUUUGUUCAUACAUUUCUGGACCUUGGAAUUGAUUUGUAAAAAUGGUCCACGGUGCCCCCAGUGUUGGGUUUGGGCUGUUUCUCUUUGUUUUUGUUUUCUUCAUUUGAUUUUGAGCAUCAUUGCAUUAGUUUUUUUUAUGCUCAGAAUUUUUGGAUCCUUUGGAUUUUUUUUUCAUGCCAUAUAGCUUUGUAUGGGCACCUUCGAUGAUUGAGAAUUUUUUUUAUGCCCCCCAGUAUGUUUGGGCACUUUCAUUGUUGAAGACUUUUUCAUGCCCCAAGACUUAUUUGGGCACUUUCAAUCAUUAUGGAUUUUUUUUAGCACUUGCCCCCCAGUGUAGGGUGUGAUCCUAGCCAAGGUUAUUUUUCAAGAAAAAUUUAUUAGGCUCAAAAGGGGACUGCAAAUGAUAUAUUUCAGCUUUGCAAAGGAUUAUCAAAGAUGGCCUUUCUUCAUCUCAAAUGCAUGCAUUUAGGAUCGGUAAGCCUUGCUUUCAUGCGAGUAUGCAACGUGAUUUCUCAUUAUUCAUGCAAUCAAAACUCAGCUUUUGAGUCACUUCAUGGUGUUUUUUUUUUUUUUUGGGUUUUCUAGGUGUAUGGUUACCUCUCUAAGAAUCACCUGAAUUUCCAGAACUCAUUCGUUUCAAACAAACAUCAACAUGAUUUUUGUUUUUGUACUAAACUUUGAAUUCCCAAAAAUCCUUAUGAAAACAUGGGGUCCUGUUUUGUUUUGGGAAGAAAAGGGGAAACGCACCACAAGAUUUUGGGCGCGGUGGUUUCAUGCUUAAAGGUUACGCUCAAUGUGUUAUUUGCAUGAAACAACAAAAAUGAUGGCAUGUGAUGAACACAACAAAACACAAGAAAGGCUCAAUGGACAUGGAAAGUCUUGUGGAAUUUUGAGCCAAAUUGCCAACAAAAACUGGAGUAGGUUGAAAUAAAAAAUCAAGUUUUUGGAGGCAUGAUCAAACAGAGGUAGUUAUUUUGGCAGAGCAAGAACAUGCUCCAUUCUGCAACGGUGAUGCAAUUCCCCUUCAGAUUGUGUUGAGGCUUUUGAUCAUGUUGGCCCCUAAUUUCUUCGGGUUGAGUUGGGGCUGAACAAAAAUAGUUGGCCGAUUGGAAGGACCUUCACUAGAGGCAUUUCUAAGUGUUUGCUCGAGUAAGCUAGUGAGGCGAGCCACACUUGCUUUCAGAGACUCUAACUCUUCUUGGAAAUGGAUGCUGCGGUGAGCACGCUCUUUGUCUCCAAUGUUUUUUUCUCUCAAAAUCAGGUGUUGUAGACUCGGAGGGGACCUACUUUUUAUUCUGGUGCAUGCAUGACAAAUGUAUGAACAUGAAGUCUAUAUGAUGAACUCGCCCUUCGAGGGGUGACAACAUGGUCGUAACUCUUGUAUGAUGGAACAAGAAUUGUGAUUUUUGCCCAAACUCUACAAUGAAAUAUUUCCGAGUGACGACCAAUGUGUCACCCACAAAUCUUGAGUUCAAGAUGCUUCAAGAAGGGUUCGCCCUGAUGCAAAUAAAUGAUAGCACAUACAACCUAAGGACAUGUUCUAUUCAUUGUGUGAACAUGGGUAGGUUUUCUACCUGGUCUCAAAAGGUCUAUGAACUGCCCAGUGACGACCUCACGUGAAGGCAGUAUAGGGGUUUACAAGGAAUGGUUGGGGCACCAUGUGACCCAUUAUCGAGUAAACACUCAGCUCAUAGUUGGAUGUUUCACAAAUCUGAACCCCGACUGAAAGUCAUGAGGUAGACUGCUACUCCCCACCUAACUUAGAAGCUUGUGUGUGCAUUCAAAAAUAAAUACGUGAUGCAUGAAACAAUUCUAUAAAAUGCAUGCAUAAAAUAAAACCAGACAAAAAUGGCAAAAUUUAAACACAUCAAGUACACAAAGCUUAGUCCAAUAUUGUCAGAAACAGUACCUCCCCAGUGGAGUCGCCAUUCUGUCGCACGUCGAAAAAUCCCGCGCGCGGCAUCGGCUGGCGAUUCAUGUCUCGUUGUGGCAUUGCUUGAAUUGGUUCGUUAGGAGUCGCCACCUAGUAUUUAAUUGAGGUUACUAGGAAACCCUGGUGGACUGGUCAUGGUCAGAGACUCGCGGGUAAGGGACUGGUUGUGGUUAGGGAAGGUGUUAGCACCCCUAACACACCCUACCUGAGGUAAGCUGCUCCGUGGACUUGAUGUGUUAAAAGAAGUUUAAAAAAUUGUCUUUUCAUCGGAUUUUAAAAAUACAACUUCCGUACAAGUUUGUACUUCUACACACGUGAUCCAAUCAAAAUAUUAAUUCCUUCUUUAUUCCUGCAAUUUUACCAUAAAAUUCACAAACACAAUGCGCACACCACAUUCAAACUUCGUGAGCUUGAUGUAAUUUUUAAAAUAGAAUUUUAGCCCACUUCUAAGGCUACGAUACAUCAGUUAUUAAUUCCCAGAAUAUAUGUAGAAACAUGUUCUUACAUUUUCAUGGAAAAUACAACAUGAUUUUAUCCAUCCUUAGAAUUUGUGCAUGCUCAAAUUAAACAAUUAAUUCCUUUUUUGUUUUUUUUAUUUUUAUAAUACAAUAUAAUAAAUAAAUAUAAAAACACACACACACAACUUUUUUAUUAUUAUUUGUUUUUCUUUUCUUUUCCACAUUUACAUAUUACAAAAUAGCAACAAUUCAAAGUUUACCCAAACAAGGCCUUAACGAUUUCAAAAUUACAGAAAAGACCCCAAAAACACAGAAUUGCAGGAAAGCCUUCUGGAUUGCUUUGACUAGUGGCGGCGCGUGGACCUCACGCACCACAGCCACUGGCGGCGCGUGGGUUCACGCGCCGUCGCGAACAGAUGGAAAUGGGUGGGUCUGCUCAGCUUCGUCUCCCUUUUCUUCCCUGCACCUGUAUUGAUAACCCCUGUCACCUGCAAAAAGAACAAAACAACAACAAGCUGUCCCCUUUUCUUCUUGGUUUUUUAUAUCUGCAUCCCACAGAUCCGGCUUCUCUUUCUUCUCCGUUUCAAAUCGCCGGCAAGGAAGAGGACCCGAACCAGAGGAGCGUCGCUGCUGUGGAAGAGGGGAUCGUGGGUCUGCCACCGGUUGAAGGAGAUGAUGACAGUGUUGCCCCGGCGCUGGAUCUGUUCGGUCGUCGCUGCUGUGGAAAGGAAACCGAAGGAGAAGCAGCCGUGGCUGAGGAGGAGAUCGUGAAGGCCGGCGUGCAGGGGAGAUGAAGGAAGGAAUGGGUUCGGCCAGUUCUGGUUCGUUUUUAGAGAAGAUGGAAGUGGGGCUCUAGUUCUGUGAGCUGGAGGAUGGCAGAUCGGUGAGGGAGAAAAAUAAAGGGUGAAGUCUUUGGUUCUCCGUUUUUUCCUUUCCAAAAGGGAGUAGGGGGUUGCGGCUACAGUGUUGGAAAAAAGGGGAGAAGAUAGGGCCGGCCGCUGGACAUGGUUUUGAGGAAGAGAAUCAGGGGCUGUCUUGUGCCCUCUGUUUCGUUUGGCAAAAAUCAGGGGGAAGGAUGAGUGGCCGGCUAAUCUGUGCUGUCAAAGAGAAGGGAGAGCGACGACCUGUUGGAUUUUUUGGAGGAGAAGGCUGCGGUUACAGUCUUGGAAAAAUGGGGAAAAGGGAGCAGACUCCCUUGCUGAGAGGGGUUCUCUGAUUUUUCAAAGGGGGCUCUUUGGUUUGUCAAUGUUGCUGCUGUUUUUGGGGGAGCAACAAACCGGGGAGAAGAAAAUAAAUCAGAAGGGGGAGCUUUAGGGGAGCUGCCGGCUGUAGUUGGAGAAAAACCAAAAACCAGUGGGGGGCGGCUGUGUAUAGGAGAAGAAGGAAAAAAUUUCCCAAAAA